GACGAACGCUGGCGGCGUGCUUAACACAUGCAAGUCGAACGGAAAGGCCCUGCUUUUGUGGGGUGCUCGAGUGGCGAACGGGUGAGUAACACGUGAGUAACCUGCCCUUGACUUUGGGAUAACUUCAGGAAACUGGGGCUAAUACCGGAUAGGAUCUCCUGCUGCAUGGUGUGGGUUGGAAAGUUUCGGCGGUUGUGGAUGGACUCGCGGGUUAUGAGCUUGUUUGUGGGGUAGUUGCUUACCAAGGCUUUGACGGGUAGCCGGCCUUAGAGGGUUAACGGGCACAUUGGGACUGAGAUACGGACCAGACUCCUACGGGAGGCAGCAGUGGGGAAUAUUGCACAAUGGGCGGAAGCGUGAUGCAGCAACGCCGCGUGCGGGAUGACGGCUUUCGGGUUGUAAACCGCUUUCGACUGUGACGAAGCGUGAGUGACGGUAAUGGGUAAAGAAGCACCGGCUAACUACGUG
rnacentral:rRNA from 1 species